GACGAAGGUGGCGAGCGUUACUCGGAAUCACUAGGCGUAAAGCGCGUGUAGGCGGGUGCUUAAGUCCGUCGUGAAAUUUCCCGGCUCAACCGGGAAGGGUCGACGGAUACUGGGCAUCUUGAGUAUGGCCGGGGAAGCUGGAAUUCCCGGUGUAGCGGUGAAAUGCGCAGAUAUCGGGAGGAACACCAGUGGCGAAGGCGGCGACCUGGGCCGAUACUGACGCUGAGGUGCGAAAGCGUGGGGAGCAAACAGG
rnacentral:rRNA from 1 species